ensembl:lncRNA
UUUUUUUUUUUCUACUUGUUAAUGUCAAUGUCAGAAUUUUCUUUAGAAAACCCCAUAACAUUUCAGAAGUCGCUCACAAAAUGACUGUAAAAUGGUAUUUAUAUGAAGCACUAUUUAUAAGAAAAGCAAAACUCUGACAGUGACAAUAUUUUUCUCCAAAAAAUGCACAUUUCUUAUGUAGGACUCUCAUCUAAAAUUAAGUGGAAGUCACAGGCAUCAAGUUCUUCAUCCUGAAUAUGUAUAAUCAAGAGUUUUCUGAAGUGUAGCUCUUCUUUAGGGAAAGUCCUAUAUGAUACCAUGAAAGAGUAAGUUACUAUGAAAAAUUUAAUUUUAGAUGCAAAAAAUACUUAUUUUUGAUGACAUAUUUUUAGCCAGGGAUAUUUUAAAGUAAGAUUCUAGAAAGCAAAAUGUCACCUGUUCUUCUUUAAAAUGAAGAAGGGCACCAAUUACAGUACCUAUUCACCUGGUUAUUGUGGAGUUUGUAUUUUUUUUGCUUAUUUAUCUGUUCACAAAAUGUACACAUACGUUGAAUUAUUUUACUCCUGUGUUUAUGUUAGACAAAAAUGAUGGAAGACAGGGAAUUACCCUGAGAUAAAACAACAUUUUAAAAACCCCAAACAACAAAGAAAGCAGUAAACAGAACAAUACCUACUUUUUUUUUUUCUUUUUUGGGGGGGGAGCUUUUUAUUCUCUUCUGUACUCUAAUAUGCUUGUUUUAUAAUAAUCCAUAUAAUAAUUCUUAGAGCUAUUGUAACAAGAUUGUACUACCUUUUUCAGUGAAAUCCUCCCAGUAGCUGACCUUCACCUCCCACAGGGUGGGUAUUCGCUACCUGACUAGGAGGAUGUUGUGUUGAGAAGGUUUUACAGUAAAUAUUCCAGUGCCUCCAUGGAUCCAGAAAUUUCCAGCUUUGCCCUGCAUCAAGCCUAGGCGAUGAAAGUCUUCAUGCUUCUUCUACUUUGUUAUCAUCUCUCUGGCCCUGAAUUACUUGUGAGCCACCCUCCGUAUAAAUGACCAUGCUUGUUAACUGUUCUGCUCUAUCAUGGUUUAUGGCUUCUGCUUUUAUAGCAGUACCAGCCUGCAAAAUCUCUUGAGACCCAGCCGUCUCUAUCACAGCAUGUGAGUACACACCAGGCUCAUCCUGCAUGUCUGGUGGCAAUUCUGUGACGAUGUAGUGGGUUGCACCUUCAGAGAAGUUGCCAUCAGAACCCUGAACCAUAGCUUGAGCUAUUUCUUCAGUGACAAUAAUCUGUGAUAUUUCCCCAUCUGACUGGACUAAAUCCAUGUGCUCGCUCUGGACACUGAGCGUGUGGCUACCAGCUUCCUGCAUAAUUAUUUGAGAGCCUUCUCUAGCUACCAUAUGUACAGUCCCUUCCUCAUUUACAAUGACCUGAGUGACACCUUCUUUCAUCAGCUGGUCGGCUGCAGCUGUAUCACAUACAGCAAACUGUAAUACUCCUUGGACCAUUUUCUCCAAGGCAGCCUGAGCUCUCUCCUGAGAUGCAAUUAUAGCCGAUGGGUGCAUGACCCGCGUCACUACUUCCAUAGGUUCAGUAUCUUCCUGCGUCUCUUGAACUUCAUGGAACAUUUGUAUUUCUUGUCCCUCCACGUCACUGGGAAUGCUGGGCAUCUCUGGAUUUGGCAUUUGCAAG